UCUAUUAAAUGUACGUGUUGGUCACUGCUGCUGUUUCGUUUCUCUGUAUGCAAAAGAUCAUUAAUUAUCAGGGUUGCCAGGUCUGCUAAUUAAAAGUAAAAGCAAACCUCCCCCUCGAUCCGCGGCGAGUGUCGAAGUAGCACGAUUACGCGGGAAAACUACCUCGUGUUUACAAAAAAAGUCAUUGGAACGUAACGUUAAAAAAAACCGCGUAGGGACGUUGCACGCUGACAAACCGGAAACGCCCGAGACGAACUACGCGUAAAGCGGAAGUAGAUUUAUUGAUCCGAGCACGUUAGUUUUAUGAAUAAUACUAAUUAUCAAGCAACGAAUUCAUGAUUAUUAAACCGAACGAGGAUAUAAUCACUGGAUUUGCUGACGUUUAUCAGAGAUCAAGAUAAGCCACCGUCCUACACAAAAAGUGCAUGUGGGUCGCAUGAAUAAUGGAUACGCGGCUUGAACUCCCGCUGAACUCCAGCUUUGUCAAGUGGAGAUCUACAGCAAACCUGCACGCCCAUUCCACAUAUCCUGCGCCGUGCUGAUGUGGCCGUUCAUUCAUCCGUUCGGAGCGGCUGUCCCGGCUCUGGGUGCGGCCGAUCGGCUGACACACUCAAACAAGCUGUUGCACAUGUGGCACAUCUGGCGCUCUGCCUGAAUCAUUACUUACUUUUUAUGUUCGGCCCGGCCGUCGCCAUGGAAACUGCUGCAUGUUUGGCAGCGAGCCUUUGAAGGAGAGCGAGAGCAGCCGCGCGCAACAGAGAGGAUUGCGAGCUCUCAGGAAUUGGCCUACAUCCAGUGUAAUCAUGGCGGGAGCUGAAAUGAGGCUUUUGGCAGCACACCAGGUUUCAGAGAACAAAGAUGUGAGCCACUAAUGUUGGCUGCAGAGCCUGCUUGGCAUCCUUUACCAUUUCCCAGCAGCCCCUGCCACGGCUGCCUGCCAAGCCGCCCUCCCUCCCCCCCGUCCCUCCCCUGCUGGGACUGCAAAGAGGAUCUGAAUAAAGAAAGAGAGUUGUUUUUCUCCAGCUCCUCUGCUCCAAUGACAUCACCUCUGCAGCCUCCAGCCCCCAGAUUCCAGACGCCCAGCACAUUUCUUCUGCUCCUCUCUCCCAGGCCCUCCAUUUUGACUAAAUUCCUCCAUUUUAUAAUUGCUCGACCUCCUCGAUGUCACCAAAUGUUUGCUGUUUGCCCAGACAAAGCCAGAAUGCGCCGACGAGUAUGUUUUUUUGGACACUAUGUAAUGCACACAGUUCGUAACAACAAGAUAAAUGUAGAAUACCCAGAAUUGGGAUAAUUCCGCAGUUCUCUUUCUUCACAUGUGUGUGUGUGUGUGUGUGUGUGUGUGCACAUGCAUAUAUUUGUCAGCUAUAACAUGCAUUUGUCAAAUAACAAUGUAGAAUAGAAACGUGUAGACAAAGAAAAUAAAACUUAAUGGUUAACUUGGAGUUAAAAGUGGCAUGGGAGAGGUUUAUCUUCAAUGUUAGAUUUUCUGUCACACCAUAGGACACACUGAUACAUCAACUAUCCACGCACACACACACACACACACACACACACACACACACACAAUAUAAGAAAUUACUAUUCAAUUCUCGAAACAGGCAUAUAUGUAUAUGUUUUAACAGUAA